AUACUUACCUGGCUCAGGAGAUACCGUGAUCAAUAAGGUGGUUCUCCCAUGGCAAGGCCUAUCCAUUGCAGUUCGGACGGGUUGACCUAUGCGAUUCCCCCAAAUGUGGGGAACUCAGGAGCCAGUUUCCCUUGUGGUUUAUUAUUUGAUAUAGAAAAUUAAUAAA